rnacentral:lncRNA from 1 species
GAGUGAACAGAAGACCACCUUUUAAUUUCCACGCAUUUUUCUUAUUUUUCUAGGAGUAGUUUACCUGUAAUCUUUUCUUUUCUGCAUUUAUUGCCUUUUCUAGAAGUAAUCUGUAAGUUAGAUUUUCUAGAGUUUGUAUGCCUUACAGGCACACUCUCUUUUAUACAAGUUUUUUCUGACUUUAAGUUUUAAUAUAUAGAGGUCAUUCGGCUCAUCAGCCAACCCAAAACUACUAUACAAAUAUCCUAUUCUGCUUAUUUAGCCGAACUGAUUAUGUAUUAGAGAGUUUCGAACUCGGCUGAU